rnacentral:rRNA from 1 species
GAGUGUUAGGUUAUGUUGGUUCUUACUAAUAAGUGAGACACCACAUUGCCCACUCCCUCCUUUCGAGUUCCGAUUUAUCUUCGUUAACUCGGGGAUAGAUAUUGGGGGCUCGGAUUCUUUACUUUGAAAAAAUUAGAGUGUUCAAAGCGGGUAGUUUUUAUCUACCAUUGAAUACAUUAGCAUGGGAUAAUAAAAUAGGACCCCGUUUCUAUUUUCGUUGGUUUCUAGAGACGGAGUA